rnacentral:tRNA from 1 species
GACCUUAUGGCACAACGGUAGCACGUCUGACUCCAGAUCGGAAAGAUGCUUGUUCAAAUCACGCCGGGGUCA